GUUCGUGCUGAAGGCCUGUUUCCUAGGCUACAUACGGGGGACUCGUUCCUUAUCUUCCGCCUAGGGGAAAGUCCCCGGACCAUGGGCAGAGAGUGCCGCGUGCGCAUGCACGUUAGACUCCCCCGCGUCCCACCGAUAGUCCGCCAAGAAGCGAACCCGCCCCGGGGGCGGCAGAGCCGAGCGGCGUGGUGCGGGGCGUCCUCCGUCAGCUCUCAUAGUUACGCAGGCAGCGCGCCCCGGCGCGCCAACCGCACGGGGCUCAUUCUCAGCACGGC
rnacentral:RNase_MRP_RNA from 14 species